rnacentral:misc_RNA from 1 species
UAUACCUCUGAAUAAACUAUU